rnacentral:lncRNA from 1 species
AUCACCAAAAAAUAACUUUUGAGAGUUUGGAGAAUAGAGGUAACUAUCAUUCAUCAAGAGAUUCAUUCAUUUCACAUGUAACAUUAUUUUACUUUAUCUUUAUCUCUUUUGCAAUGAUUUUUCUUAGAAUAAUUGGCUAUUUUUAUUAGAUUAGGCCAUUAGAUGAAUCUAACCUAGAUUUAUGUGAAACAUGCUAUUCCUUUAGUAUUGUUCAUUGUAAUAAUAAACCCUUGUAUUAUUCAACAACAAUUGAUUUUAAUGUUAUAAAUUGUUGACAAGCAGGUUAAUCCCAAAUCGUUAACGCAAUUGAUUUUUUUUUUUUUGUUGGAAUCUUAUGAAUAUAUCAUAGUAAUCCAUAUUGGAAUAUUGCAAAGGUGUUAACAAUCUUAAGGGUCAAAAUACUAUUUACUUAUGCAUACAUGUAUAUAUAAUAUAGAUUUGAUAGUCUAUUCAAAUUGUGAUUUUGUUGGUUGUGUUUAUUCUCACAAAUUAACACUCAUGUACAUUUUUAUGAUGGUUAGAGGAGCUAUUUCAAUGAGAAAUAUCAAAGAAAACUCUAGUUGCUACUUCUUUGAAAUAUGAGUUUGUCACUUUUUUUGUUGUAAGAAUACUACACAUGGUGUAUGACUUAAGAUUUUUAUUUCUAAUGAUAAUUGAAUGAUUGUCUUUAUGAAUAAGAAGAAAAAAAAAGGAAUUCAAAGAAUUAGUGGUCAUUGAUCAAAUUAUUUUUGAUUUAUAAUUGUUGAUACUUUAAUUAAUGACAUGCCAGUAGUGAUAUAUUAAAGGAUCAUAUAGAGAAAAUGAGACUUGGCUUUGAACACGUAAUUUAAUAACAACCUUUAUAUUGUAAUAUUUUGUCAUAUUCGUGCAUAAGAUUUUGAUAAAAUAUAUUUUAUUUAGAUAAAGAAUAAACAUAUAAUUUAUUUAUUAAGUUUAUGCUACCACAUUAGAUAAUAAGUAGAUGAUAGUACUCGCUUUCAAAAGAGCUCUCUAUGGUUCAUGAGCUUAUUUUUAAAGAGAUUAAUUAAUAUGCACUGUCAGUGUAAAAAAUUUUACACUAUCGAUUCAUCACCAUCACCCGUUUGCAUUACUUUAUAGAUUUUAAAAAUAAAAGUCAAAUUUGUCCCAAUAUCCAACGGUUAUAAUUUACUGACGGUGUAAAAUUCUUUUACACUAACAGUGUAUAUCAAUUAAAUUCAUUUUUAAAAUAAGUUGUUUGAUAAGUUAUCUAGGUCAAUAGUUACUUCAUAUAAACUUAAGUGCAAGAAUAUAAUAAUCAUUUUUUUUUCAAUUUAUAUGAAUAAAAACUUUCUAUUUAGUGGUUAAUAAGUAGUGGAAAUUUGGUUGUUGAAGGGUCUUAAUUGUAAUGGUUUUGAAUAUUAAUCAUCGAUAGUAGAAUCAAUAAGAAACAUAGUACUUGGUUCUUAAAUUUUCUCUCAUUCCAUUAUUCAAAAUAUACAUAUAGGAUAUACAACCAAUUUGAGAGAACUAAAUAUAAUGCACUUGUAUUAUAUUUGCAUUAUAAAUACAUAUAAUUUCUAUUUCCACAUUUGAUUAUUGAUCUUGGUUGUUCUUUGUUUAUUCGAAACAUACAAUGAACAAUAGUUGAACAAAUUAUUUAUAAUGUAUUGUUCCAUAUAAUUCUUUUACACACUAUUUUAAAUAUUUUUUCCCUAAUAUAUCAUAAUAUUUAUUUAGUUUAUAUCACUCACAUGUCUUAUACUAAAUUUAAAAGAACUACAUUAUUAUUCUAAAAACCCAUAUUUGAUCUUUAUUUAUUAAAUUAAAUUAUUAAAAUUAUUCAAUGAAGUUGAUGUUCUUAAUAUCUACUAUGAGCAAACAACAUAACAAUACUUGAAUAAUACAAUAUUAAUACACUUAUAAAUUUAUCAAAAUAUAAUGAAAGGUCACAUAAGCAUAAACUAAAGUGCGAGAAAUUUCAUAAUAUUAGAAACAUUGUAACAUACAAAUCAAGUUGUAAAUUAAUUAUUCAAUCACCAAAUUGUAAACUAAUUAUUCAAUCACC